rnacentral:rRNA from 1 species
UACGUAGGCAGCGAGCGUUGUUCGGAGUUACUGGGCGUAAAGGGUGUGUAGGCGGUUCUUUAAGUUUGGUGUGAAGUCUCCCGGCUCAACCGGGAGGGUGCGUCGAAUACUGAGGGACUAGAGUGCGGGAGAGGAAAGUGGAAUUCCUGGUGUAGCGGUGAAAUGCGUAGAUAUCAGGAGGAACACCGGUGGUGUAGACGGCUUUCUGGACCGUAACUGACGCUGAGACACGAAAGCGUGGGUAGCAAACAGG